UACGGAGGGGGCUAGCGUUGUUCGGAAUUACUGGGCGUAAAGCGCACGUAGGCGGCUUUGUAAGUUAGAGGUGAAAGCCCGGGGCUCAACUCCGGAAUUGCCUUUAAGACUGCAUCGCUAGAACGUCGGAGAGGUAAGUGGAAUUCCGAGUGUAGAGGUGAAAUUCGUAGAUAUUCGGAAGAACACCAGUGGCGAAGGCGACUUACUGG
rnacentral:rRNA from 1 species